UACGUAGGGGGCGAGCGUUGUCCGGAUUCAUUGGGCGUAAAGAGCUCGUAGGCGGUUCGGUAAGUCAGGUGUAAAAACUCCAGGCUCAACUUGGAGAGGCCACCUGAUACUGCCGUGACUAGAGUCCGGUAGAGGAGCAUGGAAUUCCUGGUGUAGCGGUGAAAUGCGCAGAUAUCAGGAGGAACACCGGUGGCGAAGGCGGGUCUCUGGGCCGAUACUGACGCUGAGGAGCGAAAGCGUGGGUAGCGAACAGG
rnacentral:rRNA from 1 species